UUUUUAUUUUUUUUUUUAUUUUUUUGUCUUUUGUCUUUUUCUAGGGCCGUACCCAGGGCAUAUGGAGGUUCCCAGGCUAGGGGUCAAAUUGGAGCUGUAGCAGCCAGCCUAUACCACAGCCACAGCAACGCGGGAUCCGAGCCGCGUCUGCGACCUACACUACAGCUCACGGCAACGCCGGGUCCUUAACCCACUGAGCAAGGCCAGGGAUUGAAGCUGCAACCUCAUGGCUACUAGUUAGGUUCACUACAAGUGAUCCACGACAGGAUCACCUGGCUACUGUCUUUUGAAGAAACUGGUAUGAAAGACAGGUGGCACAGAUAAGAGGACCUAGAAAAAAACCCCAAGAGGUCUCUAAAGACUAUUAAUAACAAUCAAAUGUAGUGGUUACAUAUUAUCAUCAGAGACUGAAUUAAGAUAAUACUAAAUGAGUUUCAUAUGAAGAAAAAAACUCAAAACAUCUCUGAAUUUUACUAGAAGCUGCUUUAUCAAGUUUCCCAUAGAAGUGAAAUGGAUGACAGUGCCAUAAUGGAAACAUACAAGCUUUUAAAAAUAUUUUAUAAUAUGGAGUUCUCGCUGUGGCGCAAUGGGAUUGGCGGCGUCUCUAGAGCAGCGGGACACAGGCUCAAUCCCUGCCCCAGCAUAGUGGGUUAAGGAUCUCGUGCUGCUACAGCUGCAGUGUAGGUUGCAAAUGCGGCUCAGAUCUGGUCCCUGGCCUAGGAACUCCAUAUGCUGUGGGGUGGCCAAAAAUGAAAAAAUAAAAAAUUUUGUAAUAUGUACAAAAGAGUAUAUAUGCAAAUCAAUCAUUCAACUUAAGAACUAGACUAUUACCAAAACUGAUUAGCUAAUUGUGCUUCUUCCUGAUCCCAUCCUCUGUCUCUACCCACCCUCACCAAGAAGCCUUUAUUCUCAAAAUUAUAUCAUUACUUUGUUCUUAUGAAAAACCGUAAAUUCUUAAAACAUUAUCUUGACUAUCAUACUGUGUUCAGUAUUCUGAACCUUUUUUUUUUUUUUUGUCUUUUUGCCAUUUCUUGGGCCGCUCCCGCAGCAUAUGGAGGUUCCCAGGCUAGGGGUCCAAUCGGAGCUGUAGCUGCUGGCCUACGCCAGAGCCACAGCAACUCGGGAUCUGAGCUGCAUCUGCGACCCACACCACAGCUCAUGGCACGCCAGAUCCUUAACCCACUGAGCAAGGCCAGGGAUCGAACCUGCAACCUCAUGGUUCCUAGUCGGAUUCGUCAACCACUGAGCCACAAUGGGAACUCCCGUAUGCCAUGGGUGCAGCCCUAAAAAGACAAAAACAAAAAAACAAAAAAAAAUAAUCCUUUCCAUCUCUGUGAGUACUUUGUGCCUCUAUUCUAGCACUUCAACUGAUUUGUAUCAUUCUUAGUCAUGCCCAAGUCUAAUUGCCUCACUGGACAGUGAACUCCCUGAAUACAAAUUUGAGAUCCCAUUCAGCUCUGUAUCAUAUACCUUAUCACCUUGUGGGCACUCCUAGCACCUAACACAAUACUUCACUAAUAGCAGGAUGUGAAAAUUUUUAAAUUGAAUCACUCUACAAAGCAAAUUUAUCAAUGACUUCAGAGAGAGUAUAAUUUAUACAUAAACACACAUAAAAGACAUCAACAAGCACAAAUAAUUGACAUAAUUCUACCAGAAUCUGGAAUAAACUCAAUUCCUUAAGAUUAUAAAGAUGGGUUAUUAGAUUGCAGUAGUCACAAUUCAUGGUCAUGCCCCUUUAUAUUUUCUCCUUCUUCUUGCCUGUAACACAGAUGUCUGGAGAUACAAGAGCCAUCUUGAAACCGUUAAGUCAGGAAGCUACAAGUCAAGGACAACAGAGCCAAAAGAUAAAAGCUAGGUUCUCAUUACAUCACUGAACCACUGCCUCACUCUAGAAUCUUGUUAUGUGAGAAAAAGAAACCCUACCCUACAUCUUAACCUAUUAUUAAUGGUGUUUUCCAUUACUGUGAUAGAAGUUUCUGAUAGAUACUAACAGGAUUUUCCACUACUUGUUCUAACAUAAAUGAUACCCAUCCUCUUGGUUAUAGUAACUAAACCAGGGGUAGACACAAAGCCAAUCAGAGUCCUUCUCUAGACUAACUUAUGGUCUCAGGAGAAAGAAGUCCUUUUUGUAUUAAAGGCUAAAAGUCUAUGGCUGUUGGCAGACACUGUGCUUGCUCCUUAAAAAAAAAAAGAAAAGAAAAGCCUGUUUUGUUUGUUGCUUUUUAGGGUCACACCUGUGGCAUAAGGAAGUCCCCAGGCCAGGGGUCAAAUUGGAGCUGCAGCUGCUGGAUCCAAGCCACACAUGCAACCCGUGCUGCAACUUGUGACAAUGCUGGAUCCCCAACUCACUGAGCAAAGUCAGGGACAGAACCGCAUCUUCACAGACACUGUGUUGGGUUUUUAACCCACUGAACCACAACAAGUUCUACUCAUGCGACUUCUGCUUACUAUUUUUACAUUUAUGCCCUUCCUUUUUUUUUUUUUUUUUUUUUUUUUGUCUUUUGUCUUUUUGUCUGUUGUUGUUGUUGUUGCUGUUGUUGCUAUUUCUUGGGCCGCUCCCGCAGCAUAUGGAGGUUCCCAGGCUAGGGGUUGAAUCGGAGCUGUAGCCGCCGGCCUACGCCAGAGCCACAGCAACGCGGGAUCCGAGCAGCGUCUGCAACCUACACCACAGUUCACGGCAACGCCGGAUUGUUAACCCACUGAGCAAGGGCAGGGACCGAACCCACAACCUUAUGGUUCCUAGUCAGAUUCGUUAACCACUGCGCCACGACGGGAACUCCUAUGCCCUUCCUUUUAAAUCUCUAAUCACAUUUCCUCACACCCACAGGACUUUAUGCCCCUUAGUAUUCUUGACCUUGCCUUACAGUUAUUCAUGUGUAUGUCUUAUCUACCCAAUUGCACUAUAAUCCCAUUUUGUUUGGAUUUGUGUAUCUCCCCACAGGUCAGUUUGACUCCAUAAUCCAUGUUAUUUCUACUAAAAGAUGCUACUUCCCAAUUGUUAACACCUCAGUAGUUAGGUGUCAAUUACGGACAUACUUAAUCUCAUCCUCCUGGGUACCACAAAAAGCCACAUUAAUACAAGUGAGAAGACAGAAUGGGGUUCAAAUUACAUUUAGGUAAGCAAAUACAGAUAUAUAAAACAAAAAAAGUCAACUCCAUUUAAGAAAUGGUUUGCUUAGAGAUGUUCAGAUCUUAUGAGUUUUGCUGAGUCACCCAAGUUAAACCUAUUCCAGGUCUCAGUCCUUCUCUGAGAACUCUCAGGCAAAUCUCUAUUAAGAACUCUUACCUCUGCCCACCCACUUACUUACCAUUAUGUUUCCAGGAAAUAUCUAUGGAGGAAAAAUCUACUCCUGGCAGUAUCCAGACCUUGUAUCUAGGCCCAAAGUUUAUACAAUUAAUGCCGUUAGCUUUCCCAAUGCUCCUAUAAUUUACUUCUCACUAACUUACUCUUAGCACUUUUUUUUUUAACUUUUCAUAGAUCAAUUUAUUUAGAAUUACAAAUAUUAAGAAUAAAAGAUUUAUGCAUUUC
ensembl:lncRNA